rnacentral:rRNA from 1 species
CAGCCGCCACGGUAAGACGGAGGGUGCUAGCGUUGUUCGGAAUCACUGGGCGUAAAGGGCGCGUAGGCGGCCUGUUAAGUCGGAUGUGAAAGCCCGGGGCUCAACCCCGGAACUGCAUCCGAGACUGGCAGGCUUGAGACCGGGAGAGGAGGGUGGAAUAUCCAGUGUAGAGGUGAAAUUCGUAGAUAUUGGAUGGAACACCGGUGGCGAAGGCGACCACCUGGACUAAUACUGACACUGAGGUGCGAAAGCGUGGGGAGCAAACAGGAUUAGAUACCCCUGUAGUCCCUGUCUCUUAUAC